rnacentral:rRNA from 1 species
GUCUACGACCAUGCCACCCUGCAAUUAUGCCUGAUCUCGUCUUAUCUCGGAAGCUAAGCGGGGUCAGGCCUGGUUAGUACUUGGAUGGAAGACCAUGUAGGAAUACGAGGUGCUGAAGGCA